rnacentral:misc_RNA from 1 species
GAUGAAGAACGUAGCGAAAUGCGAUAGGUAAUGUGAAUUGCAGAAUUCAGUGAAUCAUCGAAUCUUUGAAUGCACAUUGCGCCCUCUGGUAUUCCGGGGGGCAUGCCUGUUCGAGCGUCAUUACAACCCUCAAGCUCUGCUUGGUAUUGGGCUCUGCCGGUCCUGGCAGGCCUCAAAGUCAGUGGCGGUGCCAUCCGGCUCCAAGCGUAGUAAUUCUUCUCGCUUCGGAGGCCGCGGUGCGUGCUAGCCAGCAACCCCCAAUUUUUUUCAGGUUGACCUCGGAUCAGGUAGGGAUACCCGCUGAACUUAAGCAUAUCAAUAAGCGGAGGA